ensembl:lncRNA
CAAACAUACAUGCAUGGCCUCCUUCGCCUCCCGCAGGACCCGACGAACGGCCGCUGAUCUGCAGCGGAGACGGUAACGCGUGCGAACUGUGGUUUCAGCUGCCGGAGAGGAUCACUAAUGACUUCGUGUCAAGGGUGUUAACAAUGAACUGUAAACAUCCCCUUAUCCACUGGACCCGAGAUGUCUAUUUGACUUCUGCGCAUGAACAUCAGGACCGUGGGAUUGGCUACAUCUGAGAGACUUGGCCGUCUGUAAUUGAGCUGCGCAUGAAUAACUUCAUUGUUCUUUGAUCUUCAAAAAAGAAAGGCUAUAGGCAACCAAACAGACCCCCCCACCCCCCUUUUCCCCCCUUUGCAAGGAGCAGUGGAGAGGCCCAUUCAGACGGACCACAGAGCUUAUGCCUGCAGAAACAUGCAGCCCAUUCAUUCUGGAGAGAUAGCGUCACACUAAAAAGUCUAUAUUAAUGCGGCAAGCGGUGCUCUGAAUACAGAGGGCGAGUUCCUUCGUUCACUUGAAGCCGGGGGUGGAAAGGGCGUGCAAUAAAGCCAGCGAGCCAGUAGAUUUCCCUGCAGUGUGAUUCCCUCACCCUGCACACCUCCACACUGGACACAGACGUUAUAGGCACUGCAUAGUAGGAGGAUUAGCAGGAGUUUUUUAAUGUCAUCGUCGCAUUAUUCAUGGAGCAGGCGCGCGGGACUGGAACGUGCUUUGUGAGGGAAAUGUCGGCAGAAUCGUUUUUUAAUGUGGAACCCUGCAAUUUUUAGACAUGGAGACGAGUUGGCUUGUCAUGACGAGUAGCGCUCAGGCUGUGAGUGAACAGCUGGAUCCUUCCUGCUGUGGCUCUGAAGGGAGAUUUUUAAAGUCUAAGAAAAUAACCUCGAGACGUCGCGUUAGUUUUAAAGGCCGCGCCUUAAACUCCUCCCAAAUGUGAGUUUACCUGAUGCAUUCACCUCCUCUUUGAUUGUUUUGCUGCUCUCACCAAUUUCAUUGGAAAACGGGA